ACCAAUACUAAGUGAUGAUACUAACGACGCGCGUCGUUUCAAUUAUUUGAGCAGUGCAUCCUUUUAAUCGGUUGUUGAGAUGGCGCAUUAAUUGGGCAAUACAAAAUGAUUCGGGGAAGCACGCGGCGACAAAAGGGAAGAUUGCGCGAAGAGUAAUUGAAUACGAGUCGUAAACGGUGACCGAUGCAAUUCCGGUAGAGCAAUUAAAAGCUGGAGCGAGUCGCGAUGGUUACUCCUAAGAGCCGGCGUUUUACGGGUUGAAAGGGGGAAGAAUUGUGAAUUAUACGAAGAUUGCAGGAGAAAAGUAUGAUAAUCUCUGCAAAAUAUACAUGCACUCGUACUGAAUAUCGCGUAAUUUCUCUAUACCAGAGAAUUUUCUUACGAAUGAACAUAUUACGUGGAUUAUA